rnacentral:misc_RNA from 1 species
GCCAAUGUGUAUGAACGAAUCAGCCAAAAAUAAACACAUCAAUAGAAUAGACAUGGCAAAGGCCAUAGCAGAAGGUAUACUGGUGGUUAGGUAGAUACUAAUUCCUCCUGUCCAUGCGAAAAGAAAGAGGGUAUGCUGCUCUAGUUUAGAUACAACCUCAAGUGCUUGUCGUUCCAAGUCCCAGUUCAUUUGAUUUAAUGCAUUCCUUCUCCGUUCCACAUCUAACAACUUCACAACACUUGAACGCUAAGGGCGUGAAGG